AGCCAUAGAUGGAUAUAAUAGGUUGAAAGGUUCGAGAAAACAGAGAAAGCCAACAUGGACCAUUAAUCUCAAAUGCCAAAGACAAUCUUUCCAUUUUGAGUGUGGCUAUUAUGUUAUGAUACAUAUGUUGAAUAUUGUAUCAGCUGGGAUUGUUAAUACAUGGAAUCAAAUAUUUGGAGAUUCAACGCCAUUUCAUGAUGAUGAAGUUACGAAUGUUCAAGAACGUUGUGCAAAUUUUAUUUUAGAAUCCAUUUGAAGUAACUUGGUUAGGUAAAAAAUGGCAAUCAUGGGCCGGUGCCAUUUGUUUUUGUGCUUCUUUGUAGGCAUCAUAGUUUGUUUAGUUUUGCUUAGACUAGCUAGUAUUUUGAUACUACUUUAAUUAGGUUUUGGCAAGAGUUAUUUUGUUUGUGGUACUGUUUGUGACAUCAUUUCUUGAAUAUUUUAAAAUUGAUGGAAUUUAUUUAAAACAUUGUUCCAUGGUACUAUUUGUAUUAAUGAUUGUGUAUGAAGUACUGGAUUAGUAUUUGGUUGUGAUGAAA